UCAAUUCUCAGUCUCUCUCUGCCUCUCCGUCGUUUUGAACCAAAACUGGAGGCUCCUUGCUCCCGUCUCUUUCUCUCAGUUUCUCUGCCUCUCUCUGCGGUCCUGCCGCACUAUUCUCAGCGGCUCAACCUCUCUCCGACUGUCUGAGUCGCCGGUGACGCCUGGAGUCUUGAUCGAGUGAAACAGUGAGAGAAAGUACCUAGAAGCUGAAGAAGGAGAAUGAGAAGGUUGGUGUUGUUUAGAGGAGCUGUGUUGUGGGUUGACUUUGCUUCCUGGAGGCAGCAAAUGUUGUUGCUCAACUCUGCAGCUCUUACUGGGGCGCAGCGAGGACAGCUGCGGUCGGUGAUGCAGGCGCAGGGGCGGUCUGGCCAGUGAGGCCGAUCAAGCAGCAAAGCAGAAGACUUGGUUUGAUUGCUGGGUUCUUCAAGCUCGUUGCAGAGAAAGGGGAUUUGUUGACUGAUGACAUUCUGCCCAUCUUGGAUCUUUUUAGGGUUCUACACAAGAUCUUUAAGCUCCUCAAGAUCAACACUUGAGCAAUCAAAGUGAACAUAAACUGUGAUGGGAAAGAAAUUUCUUCAGAGAAUUGAAGGUGUUUACCAAGUCAAUAUUGAUGCUGAACAGCAGAGUCACAGUUUCAGGAGUCAUAGACUCUGCCACUUUGAUCAAGAAACUGCUAUGAGCUGGGACACAUUCUGCGAUCCAAAACCAGGAGCAAAAGACCAUCAAUAAUGAAGCAGACAAGGCAAGUAAAUGAAGCAAUGCAGCACCAACAACCACAAAUGAUGUAUCACAGAUAUGUCCGACAUGGAUUUCCAGUUGGAUGAUGAUGCCCUACCAUCGAUGCAUGACAGCGUCAAAUUUGUUUUUUGUAAUCCAAGAUUUUGCUAUAAAUGUAAAGAACAUCUUGCUAUGAAUGUAAAGUUUUUAUAUUUUCGAUUCA